rnacentral:rRNA from 1 species
GGAUUAGGCAUGCAAGUCAGAAUUGCGUGAAAGGCCUUCGGUAAACGAGCGAAUGGCGUGACGUGAUGAGUAAUGCAACCAGCCUCUGGCGAUGAGGACAGGUACUACUAAAGGGAAAGGGAUGGCUAAUAUAAGGACGUGGUCCUCACGGACCAAAGCUGGCCUCUGAAUAUGCUGGCGCAUCGGAGAGGGGUUCAUGUGCUAUUAGCUAGUUGGUGGGGGUAACGGCUCACCAAGGCGAUGAUGGCUAGCCGCCCUGAGAGGGUGUCCGGCCACACUGGGACUGAGACACUGCCCAGACUCCUACGGGAGGCUGCAGUCGAGAAUCUUCCACCAAUGCGGCGAAAGCGUGAUGGAGCGACCCCCGCGUGGGCGAUGAAAGGCCUUCGGGGUUGUAAAGCCCUGUUGGAUAGAAGAAAUCCCCUAGAGUUAAUACCUCUUAGGGUUGAACUCCCAUCGGAGGAAGCACCGGCUAAAUACGUGCCAGCAGCCGCGGUAAUACGAAUGGUGCGAGCGUUUGUUCGGAAUCACUGGGCAUAAAGAGCACGUAGGCGGUCAAGAAAGUCAGCUGUGAAAUCCCUCGGCUCAACCGGGGAACUGCAGCUGAUACUUCGGGGCUUGAGUGCGCGAGGGGAGAGCGGAAUUCCUGGUGGAGCGGUGAUAUGCGUAGAUAUCAGGAGGAACGCCGGAGGCGAAAGCGGCUCUCUGGCCCGCUACUGACGGUGAGGUGCGAAAGCUAGGGGAGCGAACGGGAUCUUUCCCUGGUAGUCCUAGCCCUAAACGAUGGGCACUAAGUAGAGGGGUUUU